ensembl:lncRNA
CAAAAUCUGUUCAACCCCAAACUGUCCUGUUGAACAGAUAUUUAAGGAACCUGAGGUUUUAAUAGGGCUUCCGGUUGGGUGAACGCUGGCGCGAUUUGGUUGCCGCUGCUCUCCGGUGUGUUUUUAUUUUAAAUAUUUUAUUCCAUAACACUCUCUAUCUCUGCAGACUGCAAUCGACUGACACGAUGUGGAUUUACCAUCUUUUCUCACGUGUCACCAUUGUCUGGAUUGUUUUAUCGUCAUUGCUUCAUCCAACGACCUUGCUGUUUCUGUAUACAGCGACUGAACUUUACCGGCUGCGGUGCUACUCUGCUGAGCCUCCGCCUUCACUCUACCCCGACCAGGAUAUUGUUCAUAGUCCCCAUCCCAAAUACAUCCAUCGCGGGUCUCAUCGGGGUUUUAGGUACGAUGACUCGAAGGAUAUAAGAUCAUUCUGGACCUCGACUCCUCGAGCAGCAAGGAAAACUCGGCGGACUAUUGACCAGAGCGCGCUAACUAGCGUAUCCAGAUCGACCAGCUCUUCAUUCGGUGGAAAUGAGCUCAAAGUCGGACUCCUCAACAUCCGUUCACUUUCCAACAAGGGUCUUCUUAUCAGCGACAUUAUUGACAAUAGUAAGUUUGAUUUCUUCUGCUUGGUUGAGACCUGGCAGCAGGAGAAUGACUUCCUUGAGUUGAAUCAUGCAUGUCCUCCUCGGUUUGUUUACAUUUCGCAACCUCGUAUUUCCAGACGCGGGGGAGGCCUCGCGAUACUUCACAACUCGAUUUAUAAAACGUCCCCGCUGUCUGUACAAAACUAUGUUUCUUUUGAAUCGGCUGCACUACUCAUCAGCGGUCCAACACCCACAGUUUUAGCUGUUAUUUACCGGCCUCCGAAAUAUUGCAAUACUUUUAUAAGUGAAUUUUGUGCAUUUUUAACCCAUUUGUGUACCUUAUCACCCAAUCUUAUUCUCCUGGGUGAUUUUAACAUUCAUAUGGAUACGGCCAGUAACCUACUCACAAGGGAUUUCAAUUCUUGCUUAGACAGUUUUGGUCUCCAACAAUAUGUGAAUUUUCCAACUCACUCUAAAGGCCACACUCUGGACCUCAUCUGCUGCUCAGGUGUCACACCACGGGACUGUACUGCAGAUGUAAUACCCAUAUCUGAUCAUAAAUUGCUUUCCUUUAAUGUUGAUGUUACACUCUCUAAAUCCAAAC